UCUCAUUAAAACAAUAGUAAUGUAUGAUGAAUUCCAGUUAACUUAGAGUGAUAUUGGAAACUGAAGUUAUAUUGUGUUGCACUUCCAAGGUUUUCAAAUAUAGCUGUGGUUUUAAUUUAAAUAUUUAAGUAUCUCUACUUGUUAUAAAUUUAAAAAGAAAAAAAUUAAGGCCUCAUAAUAAUUAAUCGCUUAGGCCUCAAAAUUCUCAGGGCCGACCCUGCUUCUACACUUCAUUCUCCAAUUCACAAAGUUUCCGCAAUCACUUACUCUAUUCCACAGGUGUAUGCUUAUCAGGAAGAGACACGCAAGUAACGUGCGAGGAAUUUGAUAUCUUUUGGUAAAACCAUUGCUUUGUAAAGGGUUCAUCCCUUGCUAAAUCUGUGUGGGUUUAGGGGUUUUCCUUUUAAAAGGCGUGUUAAUGCUUUUGGUUUUUUGACAGUUGGAAGAUUGGUUCUUCUCAAGUUCAAUCGAAACUCAUUUGUUUUCAUCUAACAAAUCAUUCUUUGAGAGACCAUAGCAAAUAUCGAUUUUGAUACUUUGCGACAAAACAUCUUCCUCAAUAAAAGCACUCAACAAGUAUAUUGUUUUCUCAAUAUUGCCUUUGUUCUUAGUUCUUAAUGCUAAAUAAAGGGCUCAUGGAGAGUUAAUGAGUUGAGUUUGUGGCCAAAAUUGAUGAAAUGGAACUAAUAUCCAAUCGCAAUCUUUUAUGGUUGAAUAUUGACGUCUUGCUAAAAUAGACUUUCUUAAGAACUAGCAAGUAGGAAAAGGACAAGAAAUUAGUGUGAGAAUACUCAAUUUCCUAAAUCUUCCAUUUGAACCUGACUUGAUUAUUAGAAGUUUCUUGUCAUCCUCUCAUUAGCCCGUCAGCCCUAACAACGAAGAGGAAAAGGAAAACAGAACAACAGUUCUAUUGUUUGGUACAUGCUAUGUUCUUGGUUCUAUUUCAUAGCAUUUGAUAGUGCCAUUUUAGUUAAGUUUUACAUGAUGACAUUAGUCACAGAUAUUGUUUCAUCUUAAUUUGAGGCAACCAAAGCUCAAGUAGCAAUUGAAGACGAGCCAUUUUUUGGAUGAAAAUUAUUUUUGAAUGAGAGAAAAAUACAAAAUUGGAAUUACAGUUUCAAUUUUUCAUCUAUAAACUCUUAUUGUUAUGCUUCAAAAAUCUUGUGUCCAGUUUUGGUUUCUAUAUUUGAUCCGAAAGUUUUACCAAUAAUAAUAGCUAUGAUUGUAAUUAUUAUUAGCAUAAUGAUGUUGAUAUUCAUAGAUAAGAUCUAAGAUUCUUGUCAUCAAUUGGAAAGUUAAGGAUUUUACCAACUUUGUGAGUAUUUGUAAUCUCUAUUUCAUCUUCUGGUAUAGAUAAUUGAUAUUGUUGUUAUUUUCACUCAUGAUAACAAUCUCAAGCCAACACUCUAUUCCUUUUUAGGUAUAGUUCAGAGCUUAAUGUUCUCUAGAUUCAAGUGCCCGGGUAACACUGAUCAAGGAUAAGAAGAAAUAUGAUUUUGUGAUUUUGCAGGAUUGAACUUGUGGUUCAUUCUGUACAAAUUUUAGCUGCUGUAGCUGUAUAUUAUAGGCAGAAGGGAUAUUUCACGGGAGCCAUGAUUUUACUAUCAAAUUGUUAGAGCUACUUGAAAGUUAAGAAAUAUUGCUCAAGGUUUAACUUCUUACAAGCUUGUUCCAAGCUACAUUAACGAUGUUAAAAUUGCUAAUGGUUCAGUAUUUGAAGAGUGUGUUUCUUUGUGCUGUGUUUACUACUGGAAUUAAAAAGAGUGAAAAGGAAGGUGAUUAAUUGAGAUUCAGGCUUGGACAUUUUAGAGUUAGAAGAAUAUUAAAAACAGUUCUUCUAUCUUACUUGAAUCUUAUACGUGUUUUAAAAGGGAUUUUGUUACUGUUUUCUGGCAAUGAAGCAUAAGAAGGGAAUCUUUAGAAACAAUUCAUAUCCUAUCAUUUAUAUUUUACCAAACAAAUUGACUUGAUGGAGGGUACAUCGGCUAGAAAUGAAUAGGCAGGUGUGGAAUGUGUAAACAAUGGAGAUUUCGUAUUUGAGAAGCCCUUUUUAUAUAAUCCCACUGUUAAAUCUGCCUAUUUAAUUGCAUUCCUAAUAUCUCUAUGGCAGGUUUGGAAGGAAUUGGCUGCUGUUAGAUUGGCUGCUUCUAUAAGAAUGUAUAUCCGUUCAACAACCACCAUACACGUAUAUUUAACAUUUAGCAACUAACGUGCAACACACCUUUUCCUCACUAUAUUGUUGAAAUGUUUAGAGAACUUGGCAUUGGGAUAGUAGCAUACAGUUCUCUUGGACGGGGAUUCUUCUCAUCUGGUCCAAAACGGGUUGAAAUUUUCAGUGAAGGGGACAAACGAAAGAGAAGAUGAAGAGCUGGACGUGUUCAGCCUGGAGAAUGUUAUCAUCUCUAUCCAAGAUUUGUAUAUGAUGCUUUUGCAGAUUAUCAAUUACCAGAAAUUUUAAGGACCCCGCUGCAGUCUCUUUGUUUGCAAAUUAAAAGUCUGAAACUGGGUAGUAUUUCCAAGUUCCUGUCAAGGGCAUUGCAGUCACCUGAGAAUCUAGUGGUAAUGCUUAUUCAAAUAUGUUUCUGUUUUAUGGAAAGAGCUUGCAUCAUGACUCACAUGGAAAAACAUAUGUCAACAAUAAUGUCUUGAGGUUGUUAUACAACUUUUCCUUCACAUUUGCUGCUAAGGUUCAAAAUGCUAUUGAAUAUUUAAAGAUCAUUGGGGCUUUGGAUGAGACUGAAAAUUUGACUAUUGAAUAAGACUCCUAAUUUCUCAAUUUUAUGCUUA